AACGAACGCUGGCGGCAGGCCUAACACAUGCAAGUCGAACGCUCCGCAAGGGAGUGGCGCACGGGUGAGUAACACGUGGGAACCUACCUUCUGGUACGGAACAACCAAGGGAAACUUUGGCUAAAACCGUAAUACGACCUCCGGGUGAAAGAUUGAUCGCCGGAAGAGGGGCCCGCGUCCGAUUAGGUAGUUGGUGAGGUAACGGCUCACCAAGCCUACGAUCGGUAGCUGGUCUGAGAGGAUGACCAGCCACACUGGGACUGAGACACGGCCCAGACUCCUACGGGG
rnacentral:rRNA from 1 species